GACAGAGGAUGCAAGCGUUAUCCGGAAUUACUGGGCGUAAAGCGUGCGCAGGCGGUCUGUUAAGACCGAUGUGAAAUCCCCGGGCUUAACCUGGGAACUGCAUUGGUGACUGGCAGGCUUUGAGUGUGGGAGAGGCGCGUGGAAUUGCAGGUGUAGCGGUGAAAUGCGUAGAUAUCUGCAGGAACACCCGUGGCGAAAGCGGCGCGCUGGACCACUACUGACGCUGAGGAACGAAAGCUAGGGGAGCAAACAGG
rnacentral:rRNA from 1 species